rnacentral:rRNA from 1 species
ACGAACGCUGGCGGCGUGCUUAACACAUGCAAGUCAAACGGAAAGGCCCUGCUUUUGUGGGGUGCUCGAGUGGCGAACGGGUGAGUAACACGUGAGUAACCUGCCCUUGACUUUGGGAUAACUUCAGGAAACUGGGGCUAAUACCGGAUAGGAGCUCCUGCUGCAUGGUGGGGGUUGGAAAGUUUCGGCGGUUGGGGAUGGACUCGCGGCUUAUCAGCUUGUUGGUGGGGUAGUGGCUUACCAAGGCUUUGACGGGUAGCCGGCCUGAGGGGGUGACCGGCCACAUUGGGACUGAGAUACGGCCCAGACUCCUACGGGAGGCAGCAGUGGGGAAUAUUGCACAAUGGGCGGAAGCCUGAUGCAGCAACGCCGCGUGCGGGAUGACGGCCUUCGGGUUGUAAACCGCUUUCGCCUGUGACGAAGCGUGAGUGACGGUAAUGGGUAAAGAAGCACCGGCUAACUACGUG